GUAGUAGUUAUGUUCUUGAAACCCAAAGAAUUUGGCGGUAUUUUAUUCUUUUUAGAGGAACCUGUCCUGUAAUCGAUAAUCCACGAGGGUCAUUUACUUAUUUUUGUUUUCAGUUUGUAUACCUCCGUCAUAAGAGUAUCUUUUUAGAGUGAAUAUUCUAUUGUUAUAAAGUAUAAAAUGUCAGGUCAAGGUGCAACUUAUGAAUAAGAAGAGAUGGGUUACAAUAAAUUUAUUUAUAUGGAUUAUAAUUUUUAUUUUUAUAUGAAGGCGGAUUUAAAAGUAAAAUUAAUAUCUUAUUAAUUUGAUUUUAGCUCUAAAAUAUGCACACAUCGCCCG
rnacentral:rRNA from 1 species